UUAGGGGAGGCUCUGCACAGCUGUGGGACCACAGAAGGCAGGAUCGGUGAUGACCUCCACCAUGGCCUGGUCCCCUCUCCUCCUCAGCCUCCUCGCUCACUGCACAGGGUCCUGGGCCCAGUCUGUGCUGACUCAGCCGUCCUCCGUUUCUCGGGCCCUGGGCCAGACGGUCACCAUCUCCUGCACUGGAAGCAGCUCCAACAUCGGGGGUGGUUAUUAUGUGAACUGGCUCCAACAGCUCCCAGGAAAGGCCCCCAGAACCGUCAUCUAUGGUAACAGCAACCGACCCUCAGGGGUCCCGGAACGAUUCUCUGGCUCCAAGUCUGGCAGCUCAGGCACCCUGACCAUCACUGGGCUCCAGGCUGAGGACGAGGCUGAGUAUUAUUGUGCAUCGUGGGAUGAUAGUCUCAGUGCUCACACAGUGCUCCCCGCCUGUGGGGAAGUGAGACAAAAACCUGCUGUCCCUCAGCAAUGGGUCUCCCUGUGCAGCUCCCCCUCCUUCGCCAAGUCAGCUCUUUCCUUUGUUUCGUCUAAACUGUAGUCUGAACUAAUCUCAAGGAACACGGGCUACAAAAUAUUCCAAAUUCUCUUAAAUUCGGCCCCUCCAGCCUCUCCUAAGCAGGAAGACAUUGUUUGGUUUUCUCCUAUUGAGGAGAAACUCCUGGGUGCCAGGGGCAGGCUGCCCAGGUAACAGAGUCAGCUGAUGAGGGAAACAAAGGCAGGAGAAAUGUUGCUUAAAGUAAAUCCCCACGGAGAGGAAGAAGUAGAAUCCCUGCUUUUCUCGGGUAUGGAGAAAAGAUAAAUAGUUUCAUUUGUUCA